GGUGGGUUGGUCGAGCGGUCUAAGGCACCGGUCUUGAAAACCGGCGACGGUUAUGCCGUCCGUGAGUUCGAAUCUCACACCCACCGCCA
rnacentral:tRNA from 1 species